UACGGAGGGUGCAAGCGUUAUCCGGAUUUAUUGGGUUUAAAGGGUGCGUAGGCGGCUUUUUAAGUCAGCGGUGAAAUUUUGCAGCUUAACUGUAACAGUGCCGUUGAUACUGGGGAGCUAGGAUUUGGUUGCUGUGGGUGGAAUGUGUGGUGUAGCGGUGAAAUGCUUAGAGAUCACACAGAAUAUCGAUUGCGAAGGCAGCUCACAAAGCCAAGAUUGACGCUGAGGCACGAAAGUGUGGGGAUCAAACAGGAUUAGA
rnacentral:rRNA from 1 species